CGCAAGGAAAAGGCGAUAGAGAACAA
rnacentral:snRNA from 1 species